rnacentral:rRNA from 1 species
UUCGGGGGGAGCAAGCGUUGUUCGGAUUUACUGGGCGUAAAGGGCGGGUAGGCGGCCACCGCAAGUCAGUUGUGAAAUCUCUGGGCUUAACCCAGAAAGGUCAACUGAUACUGCGGGGCUAGAGUGCAGAAGGGGCAACUGGAAUUCUCGGUGUAGCGGUGAAAUGCGUAGAUAUCGAGAGGAACACCUGCGGCGAAGGCGGGUUGCUGGGCUGACACUGACGCUGAGGCGCGAAAGCCAGGGGAGCAAACGGG